rnacentral:lncRNA from 1 species
UUUUGUGGCCUUUUUCCGCCGGACGAACUUGGCGUCCCGGCCUUCGGGCCGUUAUUUUUCGGCGCGGCUUUGCCCGCGGCCUAUUUUUGGAACACGAAGGCCCCUCGCAAGGCCUCACGGCAUUCCGAGUCCGGCGGACGAAGUUGGCCGCCCUACCCCCCAAGGAUAUAGCCCACCCGUUUUUGUGGCCUUUUUCCGCUGGACGAACUUGGAGCCCCGGCCUUCGGGCGCGGCUUUACCUGCAGCCUAUUUUUAUCACACGGAGGCCCCUCCUAAACUCUCGCGGCAUUCUGUGUUCGGCGGACGAAGUUGGCCAGCCCCACCCCCCAAGGCUAUAGCCCACCCGUUUUUGUGGCCUUUUUCCGCCGGACGAACUUGGCGCCCCGGCCAUCGGGCCGUUAUUUUUGAGUGCGGCUUUGCCCGCGGCCUAUUUUUGGAACACAGAGGCCCCUCGCAAAGUCUCACGGCAUUCCGAGUCCGGCGGACGAAGUUGGACAGCCCUACCCCCCAAGGAUAUAGCCCACCCGUUUUUGUGGCCUUUUUCCGCUGGACGUACUUGGAGCCCCGGCCUUCGGGCGCGGCUUUACCCGCAGCCUAUUUUUAUCACAUGGAGGCCCCUCGCAAAGUCUCACGGCAUUCCGAGUCCGGCGAACGAAGUGGGCCAGCCCCACCCCCCAAGGCUAUAGCCCACCCGUUUUUGUGGCCUUUUUCCGCUGGACGAACUUGGCGUCCCGGUCUUCGGGGGGUUAUUUUUGGGUGCGGCUUUGUCCGCGGCCUAUUAUUGGCACACGGAGGCCCCUCGCAAAGUCUCGCGGCAUUCGGAGUCCGGCGGACGAAGUUGGCCAGCCCCACCCCCCAAGGCUAUACCCCACUCUUUUUUGUGGCCUUUUUCCGCUGGACGAACUUGGCGCCCCGGCCUUCGGGCGUUUAUUUUUGGGCGCGGCUUUGGCCGCAGCCUAUUUUUGGCACACGGAGGCCCCUCGCAAAGUCUUGCGGCAUUCCGAGUCCGGCGGAUGAAGUAGGCCAGCCCCACCCCCCAAGGCUAUAGCCCACCCGUUUUUGUGGCCUUUUUCCGCUGAACGAACUUGGAGCCCCGGCCUUCGGGCGCGGCUUUACCCGCAGCCUAUUUUUAUCACACGGAGGCCCCUCGCAAAGUCUCGCGGCAUUCUGAGUUCGGCGGACGAAGUUGGCCAGCCCCCCCCCCCCAAGGCUAUAGCCCACCCGUUUUUGUGGCCUUUUUCCGCCGGACGAACUUGGCGUCCCGGCCUUCGGGCCGUUAUUUUUCGGCGCGGCUUUGCCCGCGGCCUAUUUUUGGAACACGGAGGCCCCUCGCAAGGCCUCACGGCAUUCCGAGUCCGGCGGACGAAGUUGGCCGCCCUACCCCCCAAGGAU